rnacentral:rRNA from 1 species
ACCUUUGUCAGUCCAGUACACUUGAUGAUAAGGGUGGGCAGUUCUGUGUCAGCCUCCUCGGUAAUACCAAGCACCUCAAGUGGUCAGUAUGAUUAUUUUGGGCCGGAGCGAUCCGUAUCCGGCUCUGUAUAAGUUUCCGGUUAAAGUUUUGGACGCUCAAACUGACCAAGGCUGGCCCGUAAUACUGCAGAAGCUAGUGAUUUGUAGAAGGUUACCGGUACUUGGUAGGAAGGGGUUAAAAUCCUUUGAUCUAUUGAUGACCACCUGUGGCGAAGGCGGUCUACCAGAACACGUCCGACGGUGAGGGAUGAAAUCUGGGGGAGCAAACCGGAUUUAGAUACCCGGGUAGUCCCAGCUGUAAACUAUGCAAACUCAGUGAUGCAUUGGCUUGUGGCCAAUGCAGUGCUGCAGGGAAGCCGUUAAGUUUGCCGCUCUGGGAAGUACGUACGUCAAGUAUGAACUCAUAGGAAUUGACGG